UGUAGACAUUGCAAAGAGAAAAAAGAUUCGGGCGUUCGUGCGCCCACGGCGGCGUUCGUGCGCCGGCACGAGAAACUUGUGUCCACUGUGUUCAUCUCCUUCCUUCUUUCUUGUUCGAGCGAGUGAGGAGAGGGAGAGGUAGCUAGGGUUGCCGUUUGGCAACAACAUUUGGUAUCAUGAGCUGGUUCAUCUUGGGCGUCGUUCUUCUUGCCGGAGGCGUGCCGGCGGUGGCGGAGUUCGCCGGCGGCUGCGCGAUGCUCCGGACCGUGUGGCGGCCUAUGGAGGUGCGCGGCGUGGCGAGGAGGCCGCGGUGGCUGCGGCGGCACGGUGAGGAGGCCGCGGAGGACCUGCGUGGUGGCGGCUUCAACGACGACGACGGCGCGGCGAGCGCGUCGUGGCGGCUCGGCGCGACAACGGUGGAGGCGCGUGGCACAGAGCCGCGGCGCUCGUGUCGGAUGUGUCAGGCGCGUGUAUGGGCGCGCGGCGGGACCGUGGUGUAGGGUGGCCAUUGGCGAGCGGGGGUGUGUGCAUUGAGCUGGUCCAUCGCGGGCUCGCCGCGCCCAAACGUGUGCGUGCAUGUCGGAGGGGGCGCGGGCAGAGCGGGCGGGACGGGCGCUCGACGUGAGCUGGGAUGUGGGUGCAUGCCCGGCGCAUCCCUAGGUAUAAAACCCCCCGUGUACAUUGUAAUGGCAGUGCCCGGAGUCGAGUUCGAGCUCGAGGGAAUCAAGGCCGUUGGUGCGCCAGGAAGAGAAGUUGCGGUGUGUGUCGCCGGAGAUGAAGAAGGGCGUUCUUCGUGGCAGUCGAGGAGAGGCCGGAGUCCUGUCAGGAUGGGCGGCGAGGUCGUGGCUUAGAGGGGAGAAUGUUAGGAAUAAGCCACGCAUGAGUAUGUGCUCGUGUGUGUGAUCUGUGUGCAUGGGUGUGCGUGUGUGCUCGUGGUAUGCGUGGCGUGGUGGUCAGCACGUGAGCUAGCUAGAUGGGCAUGGAUGCAUUUAUUAGUUGCGGUGUUUAGCUGGUUGUUAGCAGCGGCUGGUGGAGAUGGCCGCGUCAAGCGCGUAGCGCGCGUAGCGUGCGUGGCCUGGCUGAUCGUUUGCAUGCGGCGGAUAGCUAGCUGGAGAAACGUGGGCGUUGCGUUUGCUGUAGGACAACAAAGCUGCCGCCGUGGGUGUGUGUUUGUACUGAGUUGAGCACCAUGUAGACAUUGCAAAGAGAAAAAAGAUUCGGGCGUUCGUGCGCCGGCCCGAGAAACUUGUGUCCACUGUGUUCAUCUCCUUCCUUCUUUCUUGUUCGAGCGAGUGAGGAGAGGGAGAGGUAGCUAGGGUUGCCGUUUGGCAACAACAUUUGGUAUCAUGAGCUGGUUCAUCUUGGGCGUCGUUCUUCUUGCCGGAUGCGUGCCGGCGGUGGCGGAGUUCGCCGGCGGCUGCGCGAUGCUCCGGGCCGUGUGUCGGCCGAUGAAGGUGCGCGGCGUGGCGAGGAGGCCGCGGUGGCUGCGGCGGCACGGUGAGGAGGCCGCGGAGGACCUGCGUGGUGGCGGCUUCAACAACGACGACGUCACGGCGAGCGCGUCGUGGCGGCUCGGCGCGACAACGGUGGAGGCACGUGGCACAGAGCCGCGGCGCUCGUGUCGGAUGUGUCAGGCGCGUGUAUGGGCGCGCGGCGGGACCAUGGUGUAGGGUGGCCAUUGGCGAGCAGGGGUGUGCGCGUUGAGCUGGUCCAUCGCGGGCUCGCCGCACCCAGACGUGUGCGUGCAUGUCGGAGGGGGCGCGGGCAGAGCGGGCGGGACGGGCGCUCGACGUGAGCUGGGACGUGGGUGCAUGCCCGGCGCAUCCCUAGGUAUAAAACCCCCCGUGUACAUUGUAAUGGCAGUGCCCGGAGUCGAGUUCGAGCUCGAGGGAAUCAAGGCCGUUGGUGCGCCAGGAAGAGAAGCUGCGGUGUGUGUCGCCGGAGAUGAAGAAGGGCGUUCUUCGUGGCAGUCGAGGAGAGGCCGGAGUCCUGUCAGGAUGGGCAACGAGGUGGUGGCUUUGAGGGGAGAAUGUUAGGAAUAAGCCACGCAUGAGUAUGUGCUCGUGUGUGUGAUCUGUGUGCAUGGGUGUGCGUGUGUGUCGUGGUAUACGUGGCGUGGUGGUCAGCACGUCAGCUAGCUAGAUGGGCAUGGAUGCAUUUAUUAGUUGCGGCGUUUAGCAGGUUGUUAGCAGCGGCUGGUGGAGAUGGCCGCGUCAAGCGCGUAGCGUGCGUGGCCGGGCUGAUCGUUUGCAUGCAGCGGAUAGCUAGCUGGAGAAACGUGGGCGUUGCGUUUGCUGUAGGACUACAAAGCUGCCGCCGUGGGUGUGUGUUUGUAUUGAGUUGAGCACCAUGUAGACAUUGCAAAGAGAAAAAAGAUUCAGGCGUUCAUGCGCCCAGGGCGGCGUUCGUGCGCCGGCCCGAGAAACUUGUGUCCACUGUGUUCAUCUCCUUCCUUCUUUCUUGUUCGAGCGAGUGAGGAGAGGGAGAGGUAGCUAGGGUUGCCGUUUGGCAACAACAUUUGGUAUCAUGAGCUGGUUCAUCUUGGGCGUCGUUCUUCUUGCCGGAUGCGUGCCGGCGGUGGCGGAGUUCGCCGGCGGCUGCGCGAUGCUCCGGGCCGUGUGUCGGCCUAUGAAGGUGCGCGGCGUGGCGAGGAGGCCGCGGUGGCUGCGGCGGCACGGUGAGGAGGCCGCGGAGGACCUGCGUGGUGGCGGCUUCAACGACGACGACGGCGCGGCGAGCGCGUCGUGGCGGCUCGGCGCGACAACGGUGGAGGCACGUGGCACAGAGCCGCGGCGCUCGUGUCGGAUGUGUCAGGCGCGUGUAUGGGCGCGCGGCGGGACCGUGGUGUAGGGUGGCCAUUGGCGAGCGGGGGUGUGCGCGUUGAGCUGGUCCAUCGCGGGCUCGCCGCGCCCAGACGUGUGCGUGCAUGUCGGAGGGGGCGCGGGCAGAGCGGGUGGGACGGGCGCUCGACGUGGGCUGGGACGUGGGUGCAUGCCCGGCGCGUCCCUGGGUAUAAAACCCCCCGUGUACAUUGUAAUGGCAGUGCCCGGAGUCGAGUUCGAGCUCGAGGGAAUCAAGGCCGUUGGUGCGCCAGGAAGAGAAGCUGCAGUGUGUGUCGCCGGAGAUGAAGAAGGGCGUUCUUCGUGGCAGUCGAGGAGAGGCCGGAGUCCUGUCAGGAUGGGCGGCGAGGUCGUGGCUUAGAGGGAAGAAUGUUAGGAAUAAGCCACGCAUGAGUAUGUGCUCGUGUGUGUGAUCUGUGUGCAUGGGUCUGCGUGUGUGCUCGUGGUAUGCGUGGUUUGCUGGUCAGCACGUGAGCUAGCUAGAUGGGCAUGGAUGCAUUUAUUAGUUGCAGUGUUUAGCAGGUUGUUAGCAGCGGCCGAUGGAGAUGGCCGCGUCAAGCGCGUAGCGCGCGUAGCGUGCAUGGCCGGGCUGAUCGUUUGCAUGCAGCGGAUAGCUAGCUGGAGAAAUGUGGGCGUUGCGUUUGCUGUAGGACUACAAAGCUGCCGCCGUGGGUAUGUGUUUGUACUGAGUUGAGCACCAUGUAGACAUUGCAAAGAGAAAAAAGAUUCGGGCGUUCUUGCGCCCACGGCGGCGUUCGUGCGCCG
rnacentral:lncRNA from 1 species